rnacentral:rRNA from 1 species
UGGGGAAUUUUGCGCAAUGGUGGAAACCCUGACGCAGCAACGCCGCGUGAGUGAUGAAGGCUUUCGGGUCGUAAAGCUCUGUCAGUGGGGAAGAAAUGGGAGUCGCUAAUAUCGGCUUUCCUUGACGGUACCCACAAAGGAAGCACCGGCUAACUCCGUGCCAGCAGCCGCGGUAAUACGGAGGGUGCAAGCGUUGUUCGGAUUUAUUGGGCGUAAAGCGCGUGUAGGCGGUUUCUUAAGUCUGAUGUGAAAGCCCUGGGCUCAACCCAGGAAGUGCAUUGGAUACUGGGAGACUUGAAUACGGGAGAGGGUAGUGGAAUUCCUAGUGUAGGAGUGAAAUCCGUAGAUAUUAGGAGGAACACCGGUGGCGAAGGCGGCUACCUGGACCGAUAUUGACGCUGAGACGCGAAAGCGUGGGGAGCAAACA